ACGGGCCCAGCCGCCCCGCGGCAUGUGGGAUCCUCCCGGACUGCGGCACGAACCCGUGUCUCCUGCAUCGGCAGGCAGACUCUCAACUACUGCGCCACCAGGGAAGCCCCCAGGCUCAACUCUUAAAGGGAGAGUGACAAAGUCCCUCUGCACAAGGACACAUGGGAUAGGAGAUACUGUUGCAGCCAUUUUUGAAAGAAUUUGAAGACACUCAGAAGAUGGAUUGGUGGGCAUGGAAACAAAACAAAGGAAGUUGGUUGAUGUCAGGUGAUAAUCUCAUACAGGAGGCCAUCAGGCCACAUGCCCAGAUCUACUUCCCCAGUGGCUACUACAGGGUCCGAGUGACACAACUUGCAUGCGUGGGAGAGUAAACUCUCCGGGCAGCAAAUUUUGACCAGUGGAAGAGAGAAGGCAGAGACAGAUGGGAGAUAUGUUUUCUCUUCCUUUUUCCCUCUGAUGGAUUGUUCUGGGCACAAUAUUUCCAUCCAGCCUGUCCAAAGAGGUCCUUUGUGACUGAGUGGUCACCUGCUGAGGAACCAGCUCUGGUUAUUCAUGGCAUUUUAUGAAGCAGUGGCCAGUGCAGUAACUCAGCACCUUGUACUUGCUGCCGGAUCUUCUCCGCCUGUCUUCCUCCCUAAC